CCAAUGGCUACCUGAAGGUGGUGACCUCCCUCUGUCCCCACAUGAAGCACCCCUGUGUCCCCGUGAGGGACACCCCCAGCCCCUGCUGCAUCUCCAGCUGUCGGGCUCCAGGGCACCCGGGAUCCAGAGCGUGGGGACACACAGGGGUUGAAUCCUGCCUGAAUCCCUGAUACAGCCCAACAGCAGCUCCUGGGGCAGGGACACGACCAGCACAAACUUCAGCAUCCGCAGGCUCCGGGGGCUCAGCUCUCCAGCAGGGAUGGUGCCCCGGGGUUGUGGAAACGAAGGAAGAGUAAUGCAGCUGCUCCGAGUACAACGAGCUGGUGUGACCUCUUGGCAGGAAAUCCAGGGAAAACCAGCAGCAGUUCUUCUAGAUCCAUGCCAGAGCACUGGAAAUAAGCUCUUCUGAGGGGCUGGAGCAUGAAGUCUGUGCUGCUGGGAGUGCAGGGGGUUUGAGAUACACCAGCGAUGGAGAAUCUUGCUAUAAAGACAAUCAGCCCAGUUUUCACAUCUCAUUUGUUCCAGGGCCCUGACAGGGACUCUCAGACCACCACGUGCUCGGGGAGUGUUGUUUUAUUCCAGAACAAACUGUGCUGCUGAGGCAGGACAGCAACUUGCUAAAUUUGGUGACUGAGCCAACAGCCUGUUCAUUGUGGGGCAGGAGCCUGGGACGUGGAGAGUGAGCAGUGAAGCCACUAGUGAAGCCCCCCUGCCUCAAAAUGGUUAAGGGAACAUUCUAGAGAGAUUUUGUGGGUGCUGGAGCAGAGAAUGUGGUGCUAGAAGGCUCAUCCUGUCCAUCUCCUGGCCUCCAGGUGGGCUUAAGCAGCUUCAAGCAUCCUCAGAUCCCUGACCCCCCUGAGCUGGGCUGUCCCACCAGGAAAAAUGCAAUCUUCCAUCUACCCGAAAAAAGGCUUUGCCGUAAUUUCAUCUCUGGAGCCACAACAGUCCCUGACACAGUUUUAGGACUGUGAUGUGGAUGGUUUAAGAGCACAGCCCAGCAUAUCCCAGAAGGAUAUUAUUUCCUGGCUCAGGCUCCCCAGAUUAGCAAGUGUUUGUCCCUGCUGCCUCCCACUGCAGAUCCCAAAUCCCACCCUGCCAAUGCAGUGAGCUCCCAACAGGCAGCAGUUAAUCCCUGUCCUGAAACAGAGAUAAUUUCCACCCUGUGCUCCCAGGCACACAGUAAAUCCACCUGGAUUUCCUCUCCCCUGCUCCUGCACCAAGGGCUCACAGCACCAUCCCGGCACAUUCCAUCGCUGCCUCCAAGGAAGGUUCAGCAGUGGUUUAGAAGCAGAUCCAAGAGAAACUGCCUGGCUGGAUCUCAUCACUGAACUGUCCCAUUGGAUUUAA